CUACGGGCGGCUGCAGUGGGGAAUAUUGCUCAAUGGGCGCAAGCCUGAUGCAGCCAUGCCGCGUGUAUGAAGAAGGCCUUCGGGUUGUAAAGUACUUUCAGCGGGGAGGAAGGGAGUAAAGUUAAUACCUUUGCUCAUUGACGUUACCCGCAGAAGAAGCACCGGCUAACUCCGUGCCGGCAGCCGCGGUAAUACGGAGGGUGCAAGCGUUAAUCGGAAUUACUGGGCGUAAAGCGCACGCAGGCGGUUUGUUAAGUCAGAUGUGAAAUCCCCGGGCUCAACCUGGGAACUGCAUCUGAUACUGGCAAGCUUGAGUCUCGUAGAGGGGGGUAGAAUUCCAGGUGUAGCGGUGAAAUGCGUAGAGAUCUGGAGGAAUACCGGUGGCGAAGGCGGCCCCCUGGACGAAGACUGACGCUCAGGUGCGAAAGCGUGGGGAGCAAACAGGAUUAGAUACCCGUGUAGUC
rnacentral:rRNA from 1 species